rnacentral:rRNA from 1 species
UACGGAGGGUGCGAGCGUUGUCCGGAAUCAUUGGGCGUAAAGGGCGCGUAGGUGGCGACCCAAGUCGAUGGUGAAAGCUCGCCGCUCAACGGCGAGUCGGCCACUGAUACUGGGUUGCUGGAGCACUGUAGAGGCAGAUGGAAUUCCGGGUGUAGCGGUGGAAUGCGUAGAGAUCCGGAAGAACACCGAUAGCGAAGGCAGCUUACGUAUGGUGUCAAUGACGCUGAGGCACGAAAGCGUGGGGAUCAAACAGG